UACUGCUGCUGUUUCCUUUUUAUGGUUCUUGAGUUUAUUUACUGAUUACUUAUUUGGUGAAUUAUUGAGGACACAUUCUGAGAUGUACCUGAUUGUCUUCAUAAAUGCUUGAUGUUCAUAUGUGACUUUAUUCUGGGAAGGAGGAUAAAUGGUUGUGUUUCUGAAAUAGAGAUUUCUAACUGAUUAUGGAUGAAACGGGUAAUACUCCUUACAGUUAAGUUGCUUCACUUAUUUUUGUUAGAACCCAUUUUCAGUUUCUUGAAACUGUGCUAGACUUCAUCUUCUUGGCCUGGGUGUCUGCAGGCUGAGAUCAUAUUCUGCUGAUAAAAUUUAAUCUAACUAGAUAAGUAAUUAGGUUUUCUCUAAUAUAAUCAAGAGAUUCUAACUGAGCCCACCAGUUUCCUCUGGAACGUGACAUUUUGCUGAGGUGUUAUCCUGAGAUAAGGGAUGUAUCCUAUGUUUCAGCCUUUUGGAAUAAUUUUUAAAAUUAUAGGGACUUCAGAAAUGCAAAGCCAAACAACUUAACAUUGGGAAAAGACAGAAUAGUCCACUUGAACCUAAAUGGGUAAAAGGCAAGAGUCAGCAAGAGCAGGGCUUCUGUCUUGCCGACUCUCACUUAUGGUCUUGCUGUUCAUAAAGUUGAGUUCCAACUUGGAAAACUGGAUUCUGUAUUAAUAAAUAAUUUUAGAAGAAACCCUUCCUUAGAAUAAAAAGAAAAAUCACUUUAGUCAAACUUUUGGCAAUGAAUGGUGUGUUUCUUUCGUUUUGGAUAUCAGCAUUGUCAGCAAGGAUCAGAUGUGCUGAGCAGCCUCCCCAGCUGCCAUGGAAAUCAGCUGGAGCUGUGCCUUGGAUAUCAAGAGCACUAUGAAAGUGCAAAGCACAACUGUGCUUCAUUUUACAACAGACACAUAGGAGGUCAGCACUUACUGUUAAAGCAAUUAAGAGAUGAUAAGGACAAUAAAUAGCACCACUGUAACUGUUUACUGACAGUCAGCAUCAUGCUAUGCCUCCCAAAGCUGUGCUCUAUUUAUGAAGUCUUUGACAUUUAAUUUCUUCUGUUGAUCUAAACUUAUGGUAUUUAUGUUGCUAACCUCUUUGAGUAUGAAUUAGGAAAUAUAUUGAAACACGUUAAAGCUACUUGUGAAACAAACUAAGCCAAACGUUGGCAGUAUCUCAGUGCACCUUUGCAUGGCUGUGUCACUGAGACCAUAGGAAGGUUUAAAGCCUCUGCGAUGUAGAUGUAUUUUGAUGGUCGGAAUAGUCACUGAUUUCUUAAAAGUGAAACAUCUUUUAUUUGAUUUGUACCCCUUCCCCAUGAUGAUGUUUUUUGCGUGUCUUACUGCAAGGACAGGAUUUUGUCCUGAAAAGGAAAGUCUCUCCCUCUCUUUUUUUUAAAAUCUCUGUAAGCAGCCAUACAGCUUUCAGCUGCAAGGAGUCCUCAGUAUGUUCUGCAGCUGGAUGAAUAUCUCAAAAAUGAUGGAUGGAUGGACAUCUUAAAAAUUAUUUUGCUUUUUUCACCUUCUGUAAGGCUUUCUGGUAUAUGCAAUUUAUGCUUUUUCACUUAAAAAUUAAUGGCCAGGGAGGGGAGGGGAGGGGAGAGAAACCAAUCUGUUUUGGCACAAUUAAAAUAAUGUUCUGAUAUGACAAACUGGCGGAAUCUUCCAUCCUUUUACGUAUCUUGGAACUUUACCAUUCAGCUCAUCUUAAGUGUGAAACUUCACAUGUGAAUAUUUAGUUUGAAAGGCAGACAGAUCUUGUUUGGGGGAGGAGUGUGGCUGGUGGGUGUUUUUUAUAACAGCUUCAGUGGUUACUUUUGGAGUGAAGACAUGGCUCCUCCAACUAUUUUCAACAUAAACAAGUGCUUCUGGUUAAGUGAUGUGCCCUUGCAAACCCAACAUUGAGAACCUUCUAUACAGUCAUCAGUUUUAAUAGACAUGGCUGCCACAUAGUUUCUGAUGAGAUGUGACUUGUCUACAUAUCAUGAUUUUCCUGUUUAUAAACCUCAGCAGGGUAUUCUGUGUUGGUGGCUGUGAUAAAUGCAUUAAUCUGAAAUUUUCAAAACCUUCAGAGCCAUUUUCACUCAUAACACUUUAGUGAAUUCAAAGUCUUGAUGGUGAGAGUAACCAAACACUGAUUGCUCUGGCAAUAUUUCUGUGUAAUGCAUUGAAACGUAUAUUAUGUUCCUUUUCCUAUCCUGAAUCCCAAGAAGUUUUGCAGUUUUCUAAAAUGAGUACACAGAAUAGUAACUCCACAUUGAAAUGACCAUGCACUCUAAUUUGAAGAGCCAGACCUUUCAGAAUUCACCUCCAUUGGUUUCUGCCAUUAAAUUAGUAUUUUCACUUAUUUAAACGUUGCUUAUAUUUCAGAUAUUAGGCGGGGAAAUCACAAGCCCUGUGCUGCCUCAUCUCUGUGGAACAGCCUGAGCAGUCUAUCAUGUACCAUGUGUAUGAUAAGGUUUUGGGCUUUUUUUAAUCUGAUGGUAGUUCCUGUCUGCUCCAGAUGCACUUGGCCUCCUUUCUGGGUCUGUAUAUAUUGAAAAACAGAUAGAGACAAGUAACACAUGUCUACAGCAUGCUCAGGUGCUUGACUCAGCCUGGCUUCCAGACAGCCAAAUUUCAGAGAAGUUGGAAAUUUUGGAGACAUUGGAGCUUUGUGUAAAUGCAGUGGACAUGGGCACUGAGGUGAACUGCUGCCUCUGUAGCAAACCUCAGCUCCUCACUCCCACCCCAGCGGCAUCCUGCCUCAGCCACUGUGUCUGUGUGUGUGCAUCAGCCAUCCCCUCAGGUGUUUGGAUGGGUCCCUGUGGCAGUCACGUAGCUGUCCUGGUGCUGUGCCUCUCCUUGCACAGGUUAUGCUCCCCAUCCGAAGUGCAGUUCCCACGAGUUAUCUUGCUCUGGGCAUCUGAUCUUGACACAUGCUUCCUGCUGCUGGGAUUUUCCUUAUGUCUCCUGCAGCCGUGAAGAACCCAGCAAGGUUUUAUAUCUUUUAAACCCCUCCCUAUUCCUGUGUUUCCACAUUGUUCCUAAUGUUCUUUAGACAAAAAGGGACAAACUGUGACCUCAGCUGAUGAAUAAAUCAGCUCCCUCUGUCCACCCAGAGAUAGCCUCGGAGCGCGGCAGAACUUAAGGGCAUAUUUGUACCCUGCAAGAUGGUUAAAAAUAUCCAAGUCAAUUCCAAGCAAUCUGGUGUGUUCCUGCAGUAUUCCUGGCCUGAUACUGGGCCAGGACAUAGGUGGCUUUGAGCAGGGCUGGCUCUGAGAGGGCAUCACUGGUGGAACGUGCUGUGUCCCUGCGUGGAGCUGCAUCGCUGGGUGUGAUCUGGGCCCGAAGCUGGGGGUUGACUAUUCAUGACAUGCUGUCUUACCCAAGCCCUUACUGAGGUUGUGCUUCUACUACCUGUGGGCUUUUUUUAAAGCAUUAAGAGAUGCAGACAAAAGCAUAAUCUUCCAAAAUUUUGGAACAGUUCUGAAACUACAUCUCCAUAACAUUUGGCAAAUGUUUUUACCCAUGCUUAGGUGACAGGAGAGUUGGGCUACCUGGCCAGGUUUCCUUAAAGUGUUCUGAAGAGGGGCUGUGCAGUCUGAGUUCUCAGUGAAGCCUUUAAGUUUGUAUUGUCCAGUGGCUUGUUAGAAAAACUUAGAUUGAUGUCCUCAUAGCUGAGAUGAUUCUCAGCAUAAGUGAAGGUUUCAGAUCUGAGAGUUUAUUAGCACUAAAAAGUAACCAUCUCACCCCUCCAUACAUCUGCAUCACUUGGCUCAUGCUAGCAGCAGCACUUGUUGGACUCUGAUACCACUGCUUAAUCCAAUGGAAAAUAUCCACCAAAAACCCCCUCCCGUCCCCACGUCCAAAACUUCCACCCCGGCCUGGGUAUUCUCUCGCUGUUAGUCAUUGGAACUGUCCCAGAAGCUUUUCUACAUCACAGAUGGUUGAAACAGAGGUGCAGGGUUGCACUGAGAGAGAGAGAAACAAAGAAGUGGAUAAAGACAGCUGGAAGGGCCUGGGAUCUCCCUUCCAGAAGCAGUGAGGUUUGAGGGACAGAGUUGAAGUGCUUUCCCCACAGAUCAGUCACCCACACUUCUUGUGUUGUGCCUUGCAGAAAUAGUUCACAUUGUGAUGCUUCCUUUCCCUAUAUUUUUAAUAUCACCUGCUCCUGUUCCUGGAUUUUUUUUUUUUUUUGCCAUUUCUAGGAAGAAAUUCUUCCCUUUGAGGGUGGGGAGGCCCUGGCACAGGCUGCCCAGAGAAGCUGUGGCUGCCCCAUCCCUGGAAGUGUCCAAGGCCAGGUUGGACAGGGCUUGGAGCAACCUGGGCUGGUGGAAGAUGUCCCUGCCUGUGGCAGAAUGAGAUGAGCUUUAAGGUUCCUUCUCACCCAAACCAUUUGUGAUUCUGUGAUUUCAGUGGGAGAAAGAGCAGGCAGUGAAAAGUUGGUAAAAAACAGGUUCUAAGAAUGUGCUUCUCUCUGCCAAGGGGCAAAGCUGCUGUAGCAGUGCCUGUGGUUGGCUGUUACUUACAGUCUGCUCAUACAGGAGUCUUCAGUGUAUGGACAAGCAAAGUUCCCAAGGGUGUACAGUUUUUCUGUUGAACUGUAAGAUAAAUAACUUGCCCCCUGAAUAUGUA